UAAGGAAUAUUGCUCAAUGGGAGAAAUCCUGAAGCAGCAACGCCGCGUGGAGGAUGAGGGGUCUAUGACUUGUAAACUCCUGUAAAGAAGGAAAAAAUUCCCAUUAGAUGGGAGAUGAUGGUACUUCUGGAGUAAGCCCCGGCUAACUACGUGCCAGCAGCCGCGGUAAUACGUAGGGGGCAAGCGUUGUCCGGAUUUACUGGGUGUAAAGGGUGCUCAGGCGGAUUUGUAAGUCAGAGGUGAAAUCUUACAGCUUAACUGUGAAACUGCCUUUGAUACUGCAAGCCUAGAGUAUGGAAGAGAGUGAUGGAAUAUCUGGUGUAGCAGUGAAAUGCGUAGAUAGCAGAUAGAACACCAAUGGCGAAGGCAGUCACUUGGUCCAUUACUGACGCUAAAGCACGAAAGCGUGGGUAGCAAACA
rnacentral:rRNA from 1 species